GGGGUCGCGGCUCAGUGGUAGAGUAUCUGCUUUGCAUACACAAGGCCCCAGCUUCAGUCCCUGGCAUCUCCA